GACGAACGCUGGCGGCGUGCCUAAUACAUGCAAGUAGAACGCUGAAGCUUGGUGCUUGCACCGAGCGGAUGAGUUGCGAACGGGUGAGUAACGCGUAGGUAACCUGCCUGGUAGCGGGGGAUAACUAUGGGAAACGAUAGCUAAUACCGCAUAAGAGUAGAUGUUGCAUGACAUUUGCUUAAAAGGUGCAAUUGCAUCACUACCAGAUGGACCUGCGUUGUAUUAGCUAGUUGGUGAGGUAACGGCUCACCAAGACAACGAUACAUAGCCGACCUGAGAGGGUGAUCGGCCACACUGGGACUGAGACACGGGCCAGACUCCUACGGGAGGCAGCAGUAGGGGAUCUUCGGCAAAGGACGGAAGUCUGACCGAGCAACGCCGCGGGAGUGAAGAAGGUUUUCGGAUCGUAAAGCUCGGUUGUAAGAGAAGAACGAGUGUGAGAGUGGAAAGUUCACACUGUGACGGUAUCUUACCAGAAAGGGACGGCUAACUACGUG
rnacentral:rRNA from 1 species